AAUAAACAAAGAGAUUGCGAGAUGUUGUUUACGUGUGUCACUCGACACUGACUGCAAGAAACAAAGAGUGGAGAGCUAAUGCAUGGUGCUAAGUAUGGAAAGGUCAGAAGUCUCGGUACACUUUAGGUGAGUGGCAGUUGGGUAGAUGGAUGACCUUCAGAUAGUUUGAGAUGAAG